ACCAUUUAAAGAGUGCGUAAUAGCUCACUGGUCGAGUGGCUCUGCGCCGACAAUGUACCGGGGCUCAAGCCAGGCGCCGAAGCUGUGGACUUCGCGCAAGCGGAGUGGUAGAGGAGCGUUCCGUCCCGCAGCGAAGAUGGCCGGGUGACCGGCGUUGGAGCGGACGGAAGUGAGAAUGUUGGCAUGAGUAGCGUAAUGGCGGUGAGAAACCGCCACACCGUAAACCUAAGGUUUCCUACGGAAGGUUUAUCCGCGUAGGGUUAGUCGGGCCUAAGCCGAGGGCGAAAGCCGUAGGCGAUGGACAGCUGGUUAGUAUUCCAGCACCACGUGCGAAGCGUUUUAAGGUAAAGGCGUGACCCGGGAAGAUAGAUGGAGCGGGCCCAUUGGACAUGGUCCGUCCCUGGUGCGUAGGCGUCCGGUGGUAGGCAAAUCCGCCGCCGGGUUAAGCGGAGGCAUCGGGGGAAGCGGCGACUUCGGUCAAAGCGACUGCAUCGAGUCUACGCCGGCAAGAAAAGCGUCGUUGCUAGCGUCGCAGGUGCCCGUACCGCAAACCGACACUGGUAGGUGGGGGUAAGUACCCCGAGGUGAUCGAGAGAACCCUCGUUAAGGAACUCGGCAAUUUAGCUCCGUAACUUCGGGAGAAGGAGCACCCCUGAGCGUGACCGGACUUGCUCCGUGAGCGUUCGGGGGUCGCAGCGAGCUGGCCCAGGCGACUGUUUAACAAAAACACAGGUCUCUGCUAACCCGUAAGGGGAUGUAUAGGGGCUGACGCCUGCCCAGUGCUGGAAGGUUAAGGGGAGAGCUUCACGGCUUGAUCCGAAGCCCCAGUGAACGGCGGCCGUAACUAUAACGGUCCUAAGGUAGCGAAAUUCCUUGUCGGGUAAGUUCCGACCCGCACGAAUGGCGUAACGAUCUGGGCGCUGUCUCAACGAGGGACUCGGCGAAAUUGAAGUACCCGUGAAGAUGCGGGUUUCCCGCGCCAGGACAAAAAGACCCCGUGGAGCUUUACUGCAGCUUGGCACUGGAGCUGGGUCUGGAAUGCGUAGGAUAGGUGGGAGGCUAUGAAGCCGGGCUUUCGGGCUCGGUGGAGCCGUCCUUGAAAUACCACUCUUUCCUGAUCUAGCUUCUAACGUCUGAUCAAGCAGACGGACAGUGCCUGGUAGGCAGUUUGACUGGGGCGGUCGCCUCCUAAAGAGUAACGGAGGCGUACAAAGGUCUGCUCAGGGUGGAUGGAAAUCACCCGUCGCGUGCAUUGGCAUAAGCAGGCUUGACUGUAAGGCCUACAAGCCGAGCAGGGACGAAAGUCGGUCAAAGUGAUCCUACGGUUCCGAGUGGAAGGGCCGUGGCUUAACGGAUAUAAGCUACCCCGGGGAUAACAGGCUUAUCUUGCCCAAGCGUUCAUAGCGACGGCAAGGUUUGGCACCUCGAUGUCGGCUCGUCGCAUCCUGGGGGUGUAGUCGCUCCCAAGGGUCUGGCUGUUCGCCAGUUAAAGCGGUACGCGAGCUGGGUUCAGAACGUCGUGAGACAGUUCGGUCUCUAUCCGGCGUGGGCGAAGGAGAUUUGAGAGGAGCUACCCCUAGUACGAGAGGACCGGGGCGGACAGACCUCUGGUGUGCCGGUUGUUCCGCCAGGAGCAUUGCCGGGUAGCCAAGUCUGGUUGGGAUAAGCGCUGAAGGCAUCUAAGUGCGAAGCCCACCUCAAGAUGAGAUCUCCCACUGGGUUAACCAGGUAAGACCACGGGCAGACGACCCGUUUGAUAGGCGGCAGGUGUACGUGCAGCAAUGCAUUUAGCUAAGCCGUACUAAUGGUCGAGGGCUUGACCUACA
rnacentral:rRNA from 1 species